GUUGUGUAAGACAUGAGUUAGUUGAGGCAGCAUUUAUUUCACAAGGGAAGAGGGGACCCUAUUUGCAAGCAAACAGGGUUUAUAAGUGCCAAAGCAUUUAAAAAAAAGAAAUCAGAACAACAACAAAAAUGACAACAUAAAACAGCUGCAGGGAAGUUGUUUUUAAACAAACUCUACAGGCUGCAUCAAGUGGAAAAGGUACCCCCGUGGACCCGAAGUCACCAGCUGCAGGAAAUCCCAAUCUCAGAGUGCCAGCGCCAUCUUCUUGCCAAGGUGUUCAGUCGCAGGCUCUGAAAACCGAGGCGUGCACCAACGACUGCUGCCGUUUGCUCGUGUCUAAACCUGCAAGGCUUUCCUGCUAGCACCGCAACAGACAGCCAGUUUGUACCAGCAGCUGAUGCAGGGGGUCCCACUGGCUGGCAGCCCCCAAACCUCCUUAUGCAUCCUGCAGGGAAGGAGCUGCUCGGCGCUUCUCAUCUCUGCUCCCCUCAGCCAGCAAGAAGUGUUCUUACAAAAGAGGAGUUUACAACUCACAGGAAGCUACUUUAAAAAUAAUAACAAUAAUAAAAUCACACUUAACCUAGCCUCCUUCUCAAAACUGUAUUGUUGUUCUUGGUGUUUUAAGAGAUCUUUUCUACCACCAUUAAUAACAACAAUCAUAGAAUUGUUUGAGUUGGAAGGGACCCAUAGAGAUCAUCUGGUCCAACUCCCCUGCACUGAAUAGGGACACUUACAUCAAGGGAGUUUACUUGUGGUGGGGUUUUUUUUUGUUUGUUUGUUUUUGGUAAAGAAAUGAAUUAUCUCAGUAACUUUGAGGGGAAAAAAAAAAAAAAAAGAAGUUGAAUCCCUUUCCUGACAAGUACCAGAACAUUUCUCUAUUGGAUACUACUCAUACCAGUGGCAACAAGAAAAAUAAUCUAUAAUAUAUGCUUAAUGUUUUACCUUUACUGAAAGCUAUGGGCAACAUGGAACAGCUAGUGAGACCUAUACUAAAUACAAAUAAAACUGGUGUGCUCUCUUAGGAAUACAGAGGGCUGAAAUGAAGUAAGAAAGAAAAUGGAGACGUGGAAUUGAACAAAUGAAAUUAAAAGCUCAUGAGGAAAAUGACAGCUAAAGUUCUCUAAAAGACAAAAAUUACUUAGGAGUUGACUUUCAAUUUUCAAUGAAUUUAACAUGAAUAUUGAUUUAAGCUAUUUUUAUGCGAUAGUUUAUCCUGAAAAUGGCACCUAACUCAUCUCACAACUUUUGGAAAAUCAGUCCUUAGGCACUUCUGGAAACCUCUUUUUGACUGAAUGUAUCACACAAACAAUGUG
ensembl:lncRNA